rnacentral:rRNA from 1 species
AUUGAACGCUGGCGGCAGGCCUAACACAUGCAAGUCGAGCGAGCGGCGGACGGGUGAGUAAUGUAUGGGGACUGCCCGAUAGAGGGGGCUAACUACUGGAAACGGUAGCUAAUACCGCAUACUCUCGUAUCACCCAUAUGGGAUUUGCUCUUAGGUGGUGUAAUGGCUCACCUAGGCGACGAUCCCUAUCUGGUCUGAGAGGAUGAUCAGCCACACUGGGACUGAGACACGGCCCAGACGCCUACGGAGGCAGCAGUGGGGAAUAUUGCACAAUGGGCGCAAGCCUGAUUCAGCCAUGCCGCGUGGAUGAAGAAGGCCCUAGGGUUGUAAAGGACUUUCAGUCGGGAGGCGUUACCGACAGAAGAAGCACCGGCUAACUCCGUGCCAGCAGCCGCGGUAAUAC